GGGCCCGCACAAGCGGUGGAGCAUGUGGUUUAAUUCGAUGAUACGCGAGGAACCUUACCAGGGCUUAAAUGGGAAAUGACAGGGGCAGAGACGCCCCCUUCUUCGGACUACUUACAAGGUGCUGCAUGGUUGUCGUCAGCUCGUGCCGUGAGGUGUCAGGUUAAGUCCUAUAACGAGCGCAACCCCUAUCGUUAGUUGCCAGCAGUUCGGCUGGGCACUCUAUGGAAACUGCCCGUGAUAAGCGGGAGGAAGGUGUGGAUGACGUCAAGUCCUCAUGGCCCUUACGGGUUGGGCUACACACGUGCUACAAUGGUGGUGACAAUGGGUUAAUCCCAAAAGCCAUCUCAGUUCGGAUUGGGGUCUGCAACUCGACCCCAUG
rnacentral:rRNA from 1 species